AUAUGCUAAUAAAGAAAAGAUUAUUAUCACUUAAUGUAGUUGCUUACAUUACAAUCACCACACUUACUAGAUCGAUGCAAAGACUCACUUUCUGAAUUCAUGCAUUAUCCUAGACCUAAACCUGCCAUUAAUCUAACAGUGUUGGAACCCAAGGUGAUUCAACUGACAAAUACACAUACAUUAUGCUAUUAACGACUUCCCAUCACAAGCUUAGUAAACUACAACUGAUCAUCUGUAUUAAUAAGAACUUUGAAUACUUAGAUUUUGUAAAGAAAAGAUACUAAAGAACAACACAUUAAUGUUAACACCUAAUCAGAAUUGAAACUAAUAAUUACAAACCCAAACAUAAUGGCAAAUGAUAACACCAAAUAAGAGAUCUGGAAGUUCAUUUCCCACUCAAACAUAUUAAAGCUUCAGCUUGUUAUUUCAAAGCUCAACGAAUAUACCUGGAUAUAGCAAUAGAAACAAAAGAAAAUUUAGCCGGAUGAACAAACCAGGAGACCAACAGCGGCACAAUAGUGAUCAGCAACAAUUCAACCAGCUCAGUCUAUGUUUAGAGCCCAAAACCAGCAAAGUAAUGAAGCUCUUUUGAAAACCCAGAAAGAAUAAACAUCAGCUGACCAAUGGAAUAGUAUUUGGGAUCCCUUUUAGUGUUUUUUUCUAAAUCUAAACAAUCCUAUCAGUGUGUGUGUUUUUGAGUGUUCUAAGUGCAGAGAAUAAUGCUGAGAAGUCUGUAUUCUUUUUGAAGGAAGAUGUUUCAGUUGUUUGGGUACUUCUUCUAUGCUAUCCCCUUAAAGAAUGAGUGAAACAGGCCUUAUAUAGAAAGAUUCUAGGGCUGAUGCACCUGAUUUUAUUCACUCAUUAUUACUUCUCUUCAAUUCCCUUUUGUUCAUUUCAAACCCCAAACUUUAAACCUAUUUGUUAAAUCAGCCUCUUUUCCCAUUUUCGUAGAACCUUCCUAGGUGGUUAUGAAAGAUUCUUUCAAUCUAAAUCCCCUAAAUACCCUUUGACUUUCUGUUAUUUACCUUUAAGAAAAAUACCAGCAAUUGGGCUAUAUAGCCAAACAUGCUCAAACCUACCCUUGGGCUUCUGUACUAACAAGCCCAAACUGAAUCCCAAACCAUAAUCAAGAAUGAAUUCAAUUGAAAACUUAAGCAAACAUCCUCUGAAUUAAACGAAAAACGGACUCUAAAAGAAACACUCGAAAGACAAUAAUUUAUUAACAAAUACAAUUAAACUAAUUGUUAAGCUACUGAGAUGGCGAUUCAAACAACCUUAAAUAAACACUGAAAUUAACAGAACAAUUUAAAACUGGAAUCAUGCAAAGUGAAAAACUCAAAACCUAGAUAUGCUAAAGCACGAAAAUUAAGGAAAAUAGAAAGGGGUAUUGGUUAUUACCUAAACAAAUGUGGAAGAAAGCUUUAAGAAGCACCGACCGAACAAAAGGGGUUCGAAUAACUCCUGGAUGACCCAAAAUGAACGCUAAUCGGUUGUUCUUGCCAAGAACAAUCGACUAGCAUGAAUCUUUAGCCAAUACGAGCCUUGUAAAACCAACAAACGGUUAAAAGAGAAACAAACUCAAUCUUUUCUGUUUUUUGUUAGAUCCGGCUCUAAGAGCAUUUGAUGGGGAUUUUGGGAAAUAUGGUGGUGGAUUAGGAAAUAGGGGUGGGUGGUGAUUAUGUGGUAAGAACUUGGGGUCGAUUGGGUCGCACCGCCGGCCGGUGGGGGUUUGGGACUUUGGGGCGGCUAGGUUGAAUUAGUGUUUGGGUGAGGGGAACUGACUGGGGUUCGAAAUGAGGGGGGGGGGGAGCUUAGGUUAGGAUAAUUUUAUAUUAGGGGUGGCUUGAGUUCCGGGCCGUUGGAUCAUUGACAUCCAACGACUGAGAUGAUGCAGCUCAAAACAGUGUCUUUUGUAAAAAGCUGGACCGGGUUACCAGGUUGGGCCUGGGGCGGAUUGGGCCAAAAAAUUGGUUUGAGUCCAAUUAAACACAACCUCUUUUCUAAUUCUCUUUUUUUUCCUUUUUCAAUUGCUUUUCUCUUCCUUCUUCUUUAAUUAAUUAAAACCUAAAUUAAAUUAAUCUUCAAAAUUAAGCUAAUUAUCUACUAUAAUAUUUAUAAAAAUUAAUUAAUCCUAGAUUAAAAGAGGAAAUAACUAAUCUAAAAAUUAAAAAGUUAAAAAUGCAAAAGUAAGCCAAUUUUUGUGAUUUUCAUUUUUAAAUAAAACAACUAAUUUACUAAUUAAUCCUAAAAAUAUAAAAAAUGAAACCUAAUCAAUGCAUGGUGUUUUUGGCAUUUUCAUGAUUUUAACAAAAAUAAACAUGCAUAAAAAUGCAAACAAUUAGCACAAAAUCCCACAAAAUUGUAAAAAAUGGAAAACAUUAUUUUUCUUGUAUUUUAUGGGAGUAAAUUCCUAUAGGGCAAAAACCACGUGCUCACAAAGGUCGAAUCUUCAAUCAAAAGCCCAAAAUCAACCCAAAAGUCCAACCCCAACCCGCACCUCGGAACUUGACAAAACUCACAAAAUCUGACAACCUAUUCAAUUACGAGCCCAACCAUACUAGUCUCAUUCAAAUCCGACUCUGAAUCGAUGUUCAAAACUAAAAAUAUUCACUCUAUGAAACUUUAGGCAAAACCCCCUCAAAUUCCUCUCUUGAAACCCUCAAUCAAAUGCCAAAAACGAAGAUAGAUUUAUAACAUAAAAUCAAAAAUAAGUUGAGAACACUUACCCCAAUCCACAUGGUGAAAAUUACUUCAAGAAUCGUCUCAAUCCGAGCUCUAUAGCUCCAAAUUCGUAAAAAUGGCCGAAACUCGCGAAAUAGAGUACUUUAUAAUCACUGGACAAAUAUAUGAGCUGAGAUCGCGGAAAUACCCUUGCGAUCGCAAAGAAGAAAAUGCACUGCCCUGAAAAUAUACUACGCGAUCGCGCACAACCUUUAGUGAUCGCGAUAAACGAGCAACACUGCCUCCAUAAAAACUUUACGCGAUCGUGAAUUGAACCAGGCAAACGCGAAGCACACAGGUUUCUAGCCUUCACAAACGUGUUACCUCUUAAGCAAACGCGUAUAAGAAAUUCCAAAUUCCCAGCUACCCAUCCUUAACACUCUGCGAACGCUGCCUACACUAUGGUACGCGAUCGCGGUCCUCCAAUCGCGACCGCGAUUUAGAAUCUUCCAACUCCAAGUUUUUUCCACAAUGCGAUCGCAUCACAUACUUCGCGAUCGCGUAAGCCAAUCGAGGCACUAGAAACCAGAACACACCAG
rnacentral:lncRNA from 1 species